CAAGUCGAGGGGCAGCACGAAUAGCAAUAUUUGGUGGCGACCGGCAAACGGGUGCGGAACACGUACGCAACCUUCCCGAAACAGGUGAAUAGCCCUCCGAAAGGAGGAUUAAUACACCGUGAGAUAUAGAUGUGGCAUCACAUUAAUAUUAUAGGUAGCAAUACCGGUUUUGGAUGGGCGUGCGCCUGAUUAGGUAGUUGGUGCGGGUAACGGCCCACCAAGCCUCCGAUCAGUAACUGGUGUGAGAGCACGACCAGUCACACGGGCACUGAGACACGGGCCCGACUCCUACGGGAGGCAGCAGUAAGGAAUAUUGGUCAAUGGACGGAAGUCUGAACCAGCCAUGCCGCGUGAAGGAUGACUGCCCUCUGGGUUGUAAACUUCUUUUAUCUGGGACGAAAAAAGGGCUUUUUAGCUCACUUGACGGUACCAGAGGAAUAAGCACCGGCUAACUCCGUGCCAGCAGCCGCGGUAAUACGGAGGGUGCAAGCGUUAUCCGGAUUUACUGGGUUUAAAGGGUGCGUAGGUGGGCAGGAAAGUCAGUGGUGAAAUCUCCGGGCUUAACCCGGAAACUGCCAUUGAUACUAUUUGUCUUGAAUACUUUGGAGGUAAGCGGAAUAUGUCAUGUAGCGGUGAAAUGCUUAGAUAUGACAUAGAACACCAAUUGCGCAGGCAGCUUACUACACAGUAAUUGACACUGAGGCACGAAAGCGUGGGGAUCAAACAGGAUUAGAUACCCUGGUAGUCCACGCCCUAAACGAUGGAUACUCGACAUUAGCGAUAUACAGUUAGUGUCUGAGCGAAAGCAUUAAGUAUCCCACCUGGGAAGUACGAUCGCAAGAUUGAAACUCAAAUGAAUUGACGGGGGUCCGCACAA
rnacentral:rRNA from 1 species